UUUUUUUUUCUUUCUCCAGGUUUAUCUCUGGGGGGCUCAGUGCUGGCACUAUGAAUCCACUUCUCCUGGCAGCCAUUUUCAUUUGAUAAGACAGAGAGAAAUUGAGAGGGGAGGGAGACACCUGCAGACCUACCUCACCACUCGUGAAGCAUCCCCACUGCAGAUGGAGAACAGGGGCUCGAACCUGGGUCCUUGUGCAGGCCCUUCUGCAAGGCCUAUGUGUGGCGUCACUGAAGGCACCAACACCCAGGCCCUGCCCAUCUUUCUAUGGUCCUGCUUCUCUUCCUUUCUAAGUCUAGCCCACGCCUGUUACUACUUCUGAAUGUCUUUUUUUUUCCCCUCUUCUCUUUCCAGAUCCUGAUGAAGUUGGAGUUUUGAGCCCUCUAUUCAUCUUCCCCCAACAUCUCUCCCCCUCUGGGAUUAUGGACCAAAAUUUGUCCUGGGUGCAGAAGAAGCUGGUUACUACAGGCCUGGGAUGGGGUGCUGGGGGAGAAGAUGCCUGUCAGUCACGGCUGUCUAACUGCUAACCCAUCCAUCACUCCAGACCACUCUCAAGGGAGCUCCCGCGGGCCGGCCGCAGAGUCAAGCCACCGGGUGACUCAGGUCACCGGGCUAUUUUGUCAGCGAGUGAUUCCAUAAUUAGAACUUACGACCAGCAUGCCUAACCACGAGGACAUAUCGCAAGCACUUGUCUUAGAGGUUGGUUUCUCAGCCAGGGUGUCAAACUGUUGAAAUGUCAGGGAUUUGCAUGUCCGCCUUUGGGGUUUUGCUGCCCUGUCCUGUGCUCAGCCUCUCCUGGUAAUCAACAGUGACUUGGGAGGAG